rnacentral:rRNA from 1 species
AGAGCGAACGCUGGCGGCAGGCCUAACACAUGCAAGUCGAGCGGCCGUAGCAAUACGGCAGCGGCAGACGGGAGAGUAACACGUGGGAACGCGCCCUUCGGUUCGGAAUAACUCAGGGAAACUUGAGCUAAUACCGGAUACGCCCUUACGGGGAAAGAUUUAUUGCCGAAGGAACGGCCCGCGUCCGAUUAGCUUGUUGGUGAGGUAAUGGCUCACCAAGGCGACGAUCGGUAGCUGGUCUGAGAGGAUGACCAGCCUCACUGGGACUGAGACACGGCCCAGACUCCUACGGGAGGCAGCAGUGGGGAAUAUUGGACAAUGGGCGCAAGCCUGGAUCCAGCCAUGCCGCGUGGAUGAUGAAGGCCUUAGGGUUGUAAAGUCCUUUUAACGGGGAAGAUAAUGACGGUACCGUAGAAUAAGCCCCGGCUAACUUCGUGCCAGCAGCCGC